rnacentral:tRNA from 1 species
UAGUAGUAUUAAAUAUUUAAAAAAUAUUUAAAAGUUGGAUGGACAAACUUACUGAC